rnacentral:snRNA from 1 species
GAUCAAAGUGUAGUAUCUGUUCUUAUCAGCUUAAUAUCUGAUACGUCCUGCAUCGCAGGACCAGAAUAUUAAACUCAUUUUUGGAUCAUGACGGAGUGCUAAGUGCUUGCACUACCUCUGUCACGGGUUGGC